rnacentral:rRNA from 1 species
UACAGAGGGUGCGAGCGUUAAUCGGACUUAUUGGGCGUAAAGGGCGCGUAGGUGGUUGACAAAGUGGGUUGUGAAAGGUCUAGGCUUAACCUGGGAUUUGCGAUUCAAACUGGUGAGCUAGAAUACAGCAGAGGGAAGUGGAAUUUCCGGUGUAGCGGUGAAAUGCGUAGAGAUCGGAAAGAACAUCGAUGGCGAAGGCAGCUUUCUGGGCUGAUAUUGACACUGAGGCGCGAAAGCGUGGGUAGCGAACAGG